CAGGCCAUAGUCGGCAUGUGC
rnacentral:miRNA from 1 species